CGAUUUCCGGCUCUCUGUGUGAUGGCGUCUGUGGUUGGGUGCAGCGUGUUGCGGCCCGGGGACAAUCCGCCGCCAUCCGCCCUCCCCCGGGGCUCUCCCGCCGCUCGGCGCAGCCACAUCAUCGCUCCGAGGGCUCCGCUCCGGGGCGGCGGCGGUUCGGGGCGCUGUGAAGGGCUAGGGGAGGGUCUCGCUCCCCGCCAGGCCGGGCCCGCCGUGCGGGGAAGAUGGCGGGACCGCCGUGGCAGCAGCAUCCUGGCAUGGAAGGCGAUCCUGGCGCGCAGGGUGGCUGCUGGUGACCGUGGCUCGGCACCAUGGGGCAGGGCAGCCUGAUGUUCGGGAGCGCGCUCAGCCGAUGGCCUGCCCGCCGGAUCGGCCCGAGGAAUUACUCACUUAGUGGGAAAGGCCGAGAGCUUACGAGCCCGUGGCCCCGGUGAGGGGAUGUGGCUUGCUUCCCCUAGGGCCUGAAUCGCAGGGAAGCUGCGGCGCGGAGCACGUCUUAAGUAGAGCGUGGAGCUGAGAUGAGCCUCUCCUCGGCAGGCGGGAGCCCUGCAUGGUCAGAUCCCAGCUCCCCCCUGAGCUGUGAGCUCCCUCAGGUGGGAACAGCUGCUCCUAUGCUCCUCACCCGCACCACGGCGGGAGGGAACUUGUUUGGCUCUGGGUGCUGCUGCUCAAGGUCCCAAUUAAAUGACUCAGCGUGGAAGGAUGGUCCUUUCCAUGGAGCUUCCUCAGGAGGGGACAGCUUUGGUGGAGGGUCUGGAUGUAAAAUAUUUUGAGGGCGAAUAAACACAAUCACGUGAACCUCU